rnacentral:rRNA from 1 species
AGCGGUGUUCGGAUUUACUGGGCGUAAAGGGCGCGUAGGCGGCGCGACAAGUCACUUGUGAAAUCUCCGGGCUUAACUCGGAACGGUCAAGUGAAACUGUCAUGCUAGAGUGCAGAAGGGGCAAUCGGAAUUCUUGGUGUAGCGGUGAAAUGCGUAGAUAUCAAGAGGAACACCUGAGGUGAAGACGGGUUGCUGGGCUGAUACUGACGCUGAAGCGCGAAAGCUAGGGUAGCAAACGGG